rnacentral:rRNA from 1 species
UACGGGGGGGGCAAGCGUUGUUCGGAAUUACUGGGCGUAAAGGGCUCGUAGGUGGCCAAUUAAGUCAGACGUGAAAUCCCCAGGCUUAACCUGGGAACUGCGUCUGAUACUGGUUGGCUUGAAUUCGGGAGAGGGAUGCAGAAUUCCAGGUGUAGCGGUGAAAUGCGUAGAUAUCUGGAGGAACACCGGUGGCGAAGGCGGCAUCCUGGACCGAUAUUGACGCUGAUGCGCGAAAGCCAGGGGAGCAAACGGG